UACGUAGGUGGCAAGCGUUGUCCGGAUUUACUGGGCGUAAAGAGCGCGCAGGCGGUCGUUCAAGUCGCGUGUGAAAGCCCCCCGGCUCAACUGGGGAGGGUCACGCGAUACUGAUCGACUCGAAGGCAGGAGAGGGAAGUGGAAUUCCCCGGUGUAGUGGUGAAAUGCGUAGAUAUCGGGAGGAACACCAGUGGCGAAGGCGACUUCCUGGCCUGUUCUUGACGCUGAGGCGCGAAAGCUAGGGGAGCAAACGGG
rnacentral:rRNA from 1 species